GUGUGAGGGCAACGGCAAUACCAAGUUUGUGGAUGACACCAUCGUGUUGGCUUCAUCAGGGACGAUGGCAAGGUUUUGUCAAGAUGGUUCUGUCCUGCCCUGGUCCAUAUGUCAUUGGCUAAGGGCCAACCUCAACUAUUUAUAAUUUUGUCGUUGUAGCUGUUGUUGCCCUGUCUUUGCUGCUCUUCUACCAUAUGGCUGUUCCUGCGCUGCUCCUUGUCUUAAAGAAGGUUGCCUACAGGAGGAAGUUAAAAGACCUGACUGUGUGGUGCCGUAAAACAACGUCUCACUGAAUGUUGAUGAGAAUAUGGAGAUCAUCACCUUCAGACAGAUCAGAGGUCUUCAUUCCCAGCUACUCAGUCAUGGAAC